CCUUCCAACUGCAUCUCUCCCCAUAAUUUGGCACCAUGAAAAAUUGAAAUUCCCGCCCUGUAAUCCCAACAAAUCCCAUGGUCAGUGUGAAUGAAAGUUUUCUAUCAUGCAGGUAGAAUCCACACAUCUCCAUGGAUGGAUAAAGGUUUGACUUCUUUGAAUCUUUGGUUCGAAUCUCUAAAAUGCAUGUGCUUUGAAGCAUUUGAUUAGAAAAGAUGGCAAUGAAGGUUCUUGAAAUGAUGAAGAUCAAGAGAAAGUCGUGCUAUUUAUAAACAUUAUAUUCUAUGUUGCAUUCAUAAGAAGUUGUGUUCUUGAUGGGAUGAAGUAGUGUUGUUUUCUUCAUUUGGAUAUAGAAGUUUUAUGCGAAUAAUUGUAGAAUUUUAUGAUA